UACAGAGGUCUCAAGCGUUGUUCGGAUUCAUUGGGUGUAAAGGGUGCGUAGGCGGCGCGGUAAGUCGGGUGUGAAAUCUCGGAGCUUAACUCCGAAACUGCAUUCGAUACUGCCGUGCUUGAGGACUGGAGAGGAGACUGGAAUUUACGGUGUAGCAGUGAAAUGCGUAGAGAUCGUAAGGAAGACCAGUGGCGAAGGCGGGUCUCUGGACAGUUCCUGACACUGAGGCACGAAGGCCAGGGGAGCAAACGGG
rnacentral:rRNA from 1 species